AAACUGUACCAUGUAAUGAUAUAUUAGGCAAUUGUGCAAAUAAAAUCGCCCUGUCUGUGGUUCCACGUGAAAGAACUCCCUUUUUCUCCCUCAGUUUACCAUGGAUACCACGUGGGACUCAUACAGCACUGAUGCUCAAAUGGAAAGCAAUAGUGUUGCUAUACUGAUUGUUAAAGAAUUGAAUCACUAAAUACUAGAUUGGAUCUCGUCUUGAGUUCAAAUCACCUGCACUGUCUCAUUCUCACUUGUUACCCAGUCACUGGCCACAGGGAAGGAAAUUUGGGUAACGGAAUGAUAUCAUCAGGAAUCCUCCCAGACCUGGCUCAUCUUGACUUCAAGGGAUCUCAAUCAGAUGCCUGACAAAUCAAAGUUCCAUUGACAAGGAUACCUGCAGACAACCAGCUGGUGCUACAGUGAGACAGCCAAAUCCACUGUGUGUAGACCUCCGCUCCAAGCUACUGACUGGCCUGGGAUGACCCUGAGGCCGCAUCUUCAGAGCGGACCCCUGCAGACACUGCAGGCCACAAGAGGUCAGUUGCUGAAUGCCCUGGCAGGGCCUUGCCUUUACAGUUCUCAGUAUUCAGGAGACUUCUUACUGGUGUCCCAGGAGCAGGUGUUCCUGAAGGUGGACGACACCCCUGUCUCAAUGACAUCUGGCUUGGCAGCCCUCUGACUAUGCUACUACCACCAGGAGAAAAAUCUCUGAAAAAUAUGUUCUGGUUUAAUCAUGAGCUUGAUGAAUUUAAAUAGAACUUUGUUCUCUGCUAGUGUGACCAACGUAUUCCUUACCACCAUUGGACAGGUAGGACAGGGCCAUGUGUGCCUAUGAGAACCUUACUGAUGGGAUGCCACAGAGGAAGAGAACACCAUCUGGAUUUAUUCUAUGCUCUUGCCAGGGUUAUAGAGAAAAGCAGUAGAAGUUGACAAUGUCCAUGUACCAUUCCAAAAUCCCUAAUGAUUAGUGAGUCUUGGGAUGGAAAAAUGCUAUUGGGUCUCUCAAGCUAAUGAUGUCUCUGAACUUGGCAACAUUGCUGCUUGCUGCUAAGAGUACACCCUGCUUAUUCACAUACAGUCAAGAGUUUCUCUCACUUUUGUAAACGAGUUACAGAGAAAUAUGGCUCCCUCAGGCAUACUGACAUCUCUGAUAAGCCAGAAGCAAUGUGUGUUAGAGUCCAGACUGCUUAGAAUUGACCUGAAAGGUAACCACACCCCAAGUCUGCCUGAGUGCCAGCAGCAUCCCAGCACACAGUUUAAAAAAGGGGCCUAUGAUAAAUUAAAGUUGCAAUGAGAUGCCACUACAUAACUCGCAUUGUAAAAAUUAAAGCCUGAUGAUUCCAAGUGAUGACAAGGCUGAGGAGAAACUGACUCUUAGAAUACACUAACAAUGGAAAUGUAAAUUGAUUGAAAAUUUACACUACAACUCUGGGAAGCUAUGUAGCACUAUCUUCUGAAAUUGAAGCUAUCCAUAUCCUUUGAACCAGCAAUGCCAUUCUUGUGUAUAUAACCAACAGAACUGCUUGAACAUACUCCUUAAGAGACAGGUAUAUAAAUGCUUGCAGCAGUAUUAUUCAUAAUAGCAUGAAACAUGGAAAAACAAAUAAAUUUCCUUGAUUGUCAAAAUAGAUAAAUAGUUUCUGGUCUUACAGUUAAGUCUCUAAUCCACUUUGAGUUGAUUUUUGUACAUGGUGAGAGAUAGGGGUCAAGUUUCAUUCUUCUGCAUAUGGAUAUUCAGUUUUGCUAGUGCCAUUUAUUAAAAGGAUGUUCUUUUCCUGAUGUGUGUUCUUGGCAUCUUUGUUGAAAAUCAUUAAGCUGUAAAUAUGUAAAUUUACUUCUGGAUUUUCUAUUCUGUUCCAUUGUUCUGCGUGUCUGUUUUUAUAUCAAUGCCAUGCUGUUUUGAUUACUAUAGCUUUAUAAUAGAUUCUGAAGUCAGAUAAUGUAAUGCCUCCAGUUUUGUUCCUUUUAUUCCAUAUUGCUUUGGCUAUUUGAAGUCUUUUGUGAUUCCACAUGAAUUUCAGGUUUUUUUUUUCUAUUUCUAUGAGAAAUGCCAUUGGUAUUUUGAUGGGGAUUGCCUUGAAUCUGUAGAUUGUUUUGGGUAGUAUGAUCAUUUUAAUAACAAAUACUUUUUCAAUCCAUGAAAAUCUUAUGUCUUUUCAUUUGUUUGUGUCAUCUUCACUUAUUUUUUCAUCCAUAAUAUAUAGUUUUAAUUGCAGUAGUCUUUCACCUCCUUGGUUAAAUUUAUAAUGGGUGUUUGAUUUUAUUUUUGUAGUUAUUUUAAAUGGGAUUGCUUUCUUGAUUUCUUUUUCAGCUAGUUAAUUAUUGGUGUAUAAAAAUGCUACUGAUGAAAAAAAAAAUUUUUUUUGAGGCAGAGUCUUACUCGCCAUCCAGAUUAGAGUGCAAUGGCACAAUCUUGGCUCACUGCAACCUCUGCCUCCUGGGUUCAAACGAUUCUCCUCCCUCAGCCUCCUGAGUAGUUGGAAUUACAGUCGCCUGCCACCACGCCUGGCUAGUUUUUGUAUUUUUAGUAGAGAUGAGGUUUCAUCAAGUAGUCCAGUCUGGUCUCUAACUCCUGACCUCAGAUGUUCAGCCGUCUUGGCCUCCCAAAGUUCUGGGAUUGCAGGCAUGAGCCACUGUGCCUGGCCGCUACUGAUUUUGGUAUGUUGCUUUUGUAUCCUGCAACUUUACUGACUUUGUUACCAAUUUUAAGAAUUUUUUGGUGGAGUCAUCAGAGUUUUUUCUAUAUAAGAUCAUUUUGUCUGCGAAGUGAAUCACUUUGACUUCCUCUUUUCUCGUUUGGAUGGCUUUUAGUUCUUUCUCUGCCUAAUUGCUCUGGCUAGUAUUUCAGUGCUAUGUUGAAUCAAAAUGUGUAAAUAAAUUAUGCUGUACUCAUAGAGUGGCUAACUAUAAGUGUUCAGGACUAAGAAAUUUCCAGGAACAUAGAACUUCCAGUACUAAAACACAACUGUUUGGGCUUUAGAUACAGUGUGUAAGAAGCUUAGAAGUUACCACUCUAUCCUAAGAAAUAAAAAGCAGAUACAACCAAAAAAUUAACUCUUCUUAGAUAAGUCAGAGAAAUGAGGUCACAGGACAAACUUCUGCCUCUGAAUUGGGCAAACAAACAGGUGAAUACAGAGAAUCACAGCUUAGCCUAAGCAGAAACCACAAGUUGAAACCAGUGCUAGAGCAGGGAAAUUAAGCAACUAAUUGCUGGAGGAUCUGUGUGGACAAGUCUGAAAGUUAAAAAGUCCAAGGGGUUGGGCUCAGUUACUCAUGCCUGUAAUCCCAGCACUUUGGGAGACUGAGGCAGGAUUGCUUUCAGCCAGGAGUUCCAGACCAGCCUGGGCAACAAAGUGAAAGCCUGUCUCUGCAAUUAUUAUUAUUAUUAUUAUUUUUAGCUGACAUGGUGGCAUGUGCCGGUAAUCCCUGCAACUUUGGGGAGCAGAGGCAAGAGGAUCGCUUGAAUCCAGGAGUUUGAGUUGGCAGUGAGCUAUGAUCAUGCCACUACACUUUAGCUUGGGUGGCAGAGGAAGACCUUGCCUCUUAUAAUUUUCUUUUCUUAAUUUUAAAUUUUUUUAACAUUUUCAAAUUCUAUCCCAAUGCUCACUACUCUAAUCAUCAGGGAUUUUGGAAUGGUACAUGGACAUUGUCAACCUUUACUGAUUUUCUCUAUAACCUUGGCAGUAGCACAGAAUACAUCCAGAUGGUAUUCUCUUCCUAAAUUUCUCUAAAUUAAAAUUUUUUAAUUAAAAAAAUUCAUGUGGGGCUCCCAUACUUUUGUGAGUUUUACUUCCUGAGAUAAUAUCAAGUUCUCCU
rnacentral:lncRNA from 1 species